GACAGAGGUGCCAAGCGUUAGGCGGAAUCACUGGGCUUAAAGCGUGUGUAGGCGGAUCGUUAAGUACCUUGUGAAAUCCCACGGCUCAACCGUGGAACUGCUGGGUAUACUGGCGAUCUUGAGCCACCUAGGGGCGAGCGCAACAAGCGGUGGAGCGGUGAAAUGCGUAGAUAUCGCUUGGAACGCCAAUGGUGAAAACAGCUCGCUGGGGGUGUGCUGACGCUGAGACACGAAAGCCAGGGGAGCGAACGGG
rnacentral:rRNA from 1 species